GUCUUGGUAGCUCAGUUGGUGAGAGCACUGGACUGUUAAUUCGUAGGUUGCGGGUUCGAGUCCCGCUCAAGGAGGUACU